rnacentral:tRNA from 1 species
GCCGAGGUGGCGAAAUUGGCAGACGCGCUAGGUUGAGGGCCUAGUGGGGUUAACGCCCCGUGGAGGUUCGAGUCCUCUCCUCGGCA